UGCAGCCCUGAACUUCUGCGUGGGAACACCUGCUUGAGGACCCUCUCCAGUGCUCCUCAGCUCAGGCCUAGUGAAAAGGCAGCUUCAUAAUGCUGUGAGAACAGGCAUCCUUCAUUCAGUCACAGAAGAACACAGCUGUAGGAAAGGGGAUCCUGCCGCGUUUCCUCAUCCAUCCUGCAAACUGGUGGGAGCAACCAGGACCACUGCGAGCUUACAGCAUCUUGCAGAAAGUGUGGAUGGGGCUUUUUAUGCUUCUUCGGCUCAUUUCCCUUGCUGUUGGAGUGGUUCGGUAAUCUCCACCGAUAUUGCAGGGGAAGGCCUGGGCCACUGGGUUAUGGAGGAAGAAGGGGGCAGUCCUUUGACCACCUGCACCCUCCUCAGCAUCAAGAGUAACCAUGAGGCUAGAUGGGAAAUGAGUCCUGCACUGCCCUUUUCUUUUCCUCUCAUGAAAGAUGUGGGGAAACAAAAUGUUUUGGGUUG